rnacentral:rRNA from 1 species
UACGUAGGGUGCGAGCGUUAAUCGGAAUUACUGGGCGUAAAGCGUGCGCAGGCGGUUCGCUGUGUCUGCGGUGAAAGCCCCGGGCUCAACCUGGGAAUGGCCGUGGAAACUGGCGAGCUGGAGUGUGGCAGAGGGGGGUGGAAUUCCACGUGUAGCAGUGAAAUGCGUAGAGAUGUGGAGGAACACCGAUGGCGAAGGCAGCCCCCCUGGGCUGACACUGACGCUGAGGAGCGAAAGCGUGGGUAGCAAACAGG